rnacentral:misc_RNA from 1 species
AAGGUCAUUCGCAAGAGUGGCCUUUAU